rnacentral:rRNA from 1 species
UACGUAGGGUGCGAGCGUUAAUCGGAAUUACUGGGCGUAAAGCGUGCGCAGGCGGCUUUGCAAGCCAGAUGUGAAAUCCCCGGGCUCAACCUGGGAACUGCAUUUGUGACUGCAAGGCUAGAGUACGGCAGAGGGGGAUGGAAUUCCGCGUGUAGCAGUGAAAUGCGUAGAUAUGCGGAGGAACACCAAUGGCGAAGGCAAUCCCCUGGGCCUGUACUGACGCUCAUGCACGAAAGCGUGGGGAGCAAACAGG